rnacentral:rRNA from 1 species
GUCUAUGACCAUACCACCCUGAACAUGCCCAGUCUCAUCUGAUCUCCGAAGCUAAACAGGGUUGGACCUGGUUAUAGUAUCAGGUGGACGAGUCUGAGGUAGGAGGAAUACUUAAACCCAAGAGUUUGAGGCU